ACGAGUACUUGACUUGGUGGCGACCGGCGCACGGGUGCGUAACGCGUAUGCAAACCUACCUUAUACUGAGGGAUAGCCCAGAGAAAUUUGGAUUAAUACCUCAUAGUAUCAUUUGAAGGCAUCUGAGAAUGAUUUAAAGAUUUUAUCGGGUAUAAGAUGGGCAUGCGUAAGAUUAGUUAGUUGGUGAGGUAACGGCUCACCAAGACUUCGAUCUUUAGGGGUUCUGAGAGGAUGAUCCCCCACACUGGUACUGAGAUACGGACCAGACUUC
rnacentral:rRNA from 1 species